GACGAACGCUGGCGGCGUGCUUAACACAUGCAAGUCGAACGGAAAGGCCCUGCUUUUGUGGGGUGCUCGAGUGGCGAACGGGUGAGUAACACGUGAGUAACCUGCCCUUGACUUUGGGAUAACUUCAGGAAACUGGGGCUAAUACCGGAUAGGAGCUCCUGCUGCAUGGUGGGGGUUGGAAAGUUUCGGCGGUUGGGGAUGGACUCGCGGCUUAUCAGCUUGUUGGUGGGGUAGUGGCUUACCAAGGCUUUGACGGUAGCCGGCCUGAGAGGGUGACCGGCCACAUUGGGACUGAGAUACGGCCCAGACUCCUACGGGAGGCAGCAGUGGGGAAUAUUGCACAAUGGGCGGAAGCCUGAUGCAGCAACGCCGCGUGCGGGAUGACGGCCUUCGGGUUGUAAACCGCUUUCGCCUGUGACGAAGCGUGAGUGACGGUAAUGGGUAAAGAAGCACCGGCUAACUACGUG
rnacentral:rRNA from 1 species